rnacentral:rRNA from 1 species
AAUGAACGCUGGCGGCAUGCCUAACACAUGCAAGUCGAACGAAGGCUUCGGCCUUAGUGGCGCACGGGUGCGUAACGCGUGGGAAUCUGCCCUUGGGUUCGGAAUAACAGUUAGAAAUGACUGCUAAUACCGGAUGAUGUCGUAAGACCAAAGAUUUAUCGCCCAAGGAUGAGCCCGCGUAGGAUUAGCUAGUUGGUGGGGUAAAGGCCUACCAAGGCGACGAUCCUUAGCUGGUCUGAGAGGAUGAUCAGCCACACUGGGACUGAGACACGGCCCAGACUCCUACGGGAGGCAGCAGUGGGGAAUAGUGGACAAUGGGCGAAAGCCUGAUCCAGCAAUGCCGCGUGAGUGAUGAAGGCCUUAGGGUUGUAAAGCUCUUUUACCCGGGAUGAUAAUGACAGUACCGGGAGAAUAAGCUCCGGCUAACUUCGUG